AUUUGAAAACCCGAGUGUUGGUUGCCCACAACAACUAUUGAUGUGAUCUCAAAUAGGCUCAUUUUUUGGAUUUGAUUCUACUUGCAAGAUAUAUUCAGAAAUGAUUGGUAAUGUGAUGGUUGAUGCCGAUCUACAGGAAAAUAUUACCACUUGUACAUAUAUCCACGUUGGACGGCUUAUGGGUCAUGCUGCUUCUCACAUCACACUGGAGUGUGCGUUGCAAACUCAUCCAAAUAUUACUAUUAUUGGAGAAAAGGUAGCUGCUUUAUUUAAACUACUUAAGAUAGAAACCUUUGUCAAGGAGGACAUAUAUCUCCACAUGCUUUACUAGAUAGAAAUCUUUGUCAAGAAGGGCAUUUACCUCCACAUGCAAUCCUAGGGUUGUUUAUUCUCUUUGAGGACUAGAUUUUGUCUCAGUAAUAACUAAUAAUCUCUGCAACAGAUACUCUCAUGUAACCAUGAAAAUUGAAAUUGUUGAGUCAGUUAAUAUAUCCUAUUUCAGUAUUUCAUCUUGCAUUUCUACAUGGAAUGGUAAAUAUCAAACAAAAAUUAAGGGUAAAGAUGAAAAUUUGUGAUAAAUAAAGGAUUCAUGGAAUUAGGUUGAAACUUUUAAUAUGGUGCAAUAGAACUAAGUAUUACAUCCCAUAUCAUAUUCAAUUGCCUUAAGUGAUAUCGGAUGCCUCUUUUUGAUAGCUUUGAAAAAUUUGUUCUCUACCACCUAGUUGUAGUUGACUCAUGGAGAUUUAUUGGUUUUGAAUGUAUGCAAGCGAAAAAAUUUUCAGACAAAAAAUAAUGUGUUUUAAAUGUUGACUCAUUUAUUAAUAGAGUUUUAGUUUAUAGGAUACAUCGAAUUUACAAUGUGUU